rnacentral:rRNA from 1 species
AACGAACGCUGGCGGCGUGCCUAACACAUGCAAGUCGAACGAGAAGUACGUAGCAAUACGUAUUGUAAAGUGGCGCACGGGUGAGUAACACGUGGGUAAUCUGCCCUUGAGUUUGGGAUAACCCCGCGAAAGCGGGGCUAAUACCGAAUAAGACCACGGGGACCAAAGUCCCUGGGGUAAAAGGUGGCCUCUAUUUAUAAGCUACCACUUGAGGAUGAGCCCGCGGCCCAUUAGCUAGUUGGUGAGGUAACGGCUCACCAAGGCGAUGAUGGGUAGCUGGUCUGAGAGGACGAUCAGCCACACUGGAACUGAGACACGGUCCAGACUCCUACGGGUGGCAG